rnacentral:rRNA from 1 species
AACGAACGCUGGCGGCAGGCCUAACACAUGCAAGUCGAACGCUCCAGCAAUGGAGAGUGGCAGACGGGUGAGUAACGCGUGGGAACCUUCCCAGUGGUACGGAAUAGCCCAGGGAAACUUGGGGUAAUACCGUAUACGCCCCUAGGGGGAAAGAUUUAUCGCCAUUGGAUGGGCCCGCGUCGGAUUAGCUUGUUGGUGAGGUAAAAGCUCACCAAGGCGACGAUCCGUAGCUGGUCUGAGAGGAUGAUCAGCCACACUGGGACUGAGACACGGCCCAGACUCCUACGGGAGGCAGCAGUGGGGAAUAUUGGACAAUGGGCGCAAGCCUGAUCCAGCCAUGCCGCGUGAGUGACGAAGGCCCUAGGGUUGUAAAGCUCUUUUGGCGGGGACGAUAAUGACGGUACCCGCAGAAUAAGCUCCGGCUAACUUCGUG